AAAAUGACCCCUUAAUGCCCGCGUCACACUGUCCCGAUUUUUAUAUACGAUGGACACCCGAAUGCGAAAAUUGUAAGUUCGUACGAAGUUGGUCCCGAUCUCGUUAAAAUACCAAAAAGUGACCGAAGCAAGUACGAUGAAUAACGAAGUCUAUACGAUGGUGCCGAAAUUAUAUACGAUAGCAAAAGAUGGACAUAUGAAGGUUAACCGAAGGCGGGUAUUAAAGCUUCAUAUCUCAGCCGAAACCUACACGAUGGAUCACGAAGGCUACACGAUGGAUUACGAUGAUGGCGCGAUGGCCAUACGAUGUCUAAAAGAUACGAACAGAAUUUCGACA
rnacentral:lncRNA from 1 species